rnacentral:rRNA from 1 species
AGGGCGCAUGGGGGAUGCCUAGGCUAUAGACGACGACGAAGGACGUGGUAAGCUGCGAAAAGCUGCGGGAAGGUGCAAACGACCGCUCGAUCCGCAGAUGUCCGAAUGGGGCAACCCGACCGUCUGAAGGACGGUAGACAAAGUCGGCAACCCGCUGAACUGAAACAUCUAAGUAGGCGGAGGAAAAGAAAAUAACAAUGAUUCCGUAAGUAGUGGCGAGCGAACGCGGAAGAGCCCAAACCGGGGCGUUCACGUCCCGGGGUUGUAGGACCUGUAGGAUUGCCCGACCACCGAGCAGAACGAUUUGGAAAAUUCGACCAAAGGGGGUGAAAGUCCCGUAGGCGAAGGUGGUUGGUCAUGACGGGUAUCCUGAGUAGGGCGGGGCCGGAGAAACCCUGUCUGAAACCGCCGGCACCAUCCGGCAAGGCUAAAUACGAUCUAUAGACCGAUAGUGGACCAGUACCGUGAGGGAAAGGUGAAAAGAACCCUGAGCAAGGGAGUGAAAAGAACCUGAAACCAUGCGCCUACAAGCGGUCGGAGUCCCGAGCGAUCGGGAUGACGGCGUGCCUUUUGUAUAAUGAGCCUACGAGUUGCUCCUCACUAACGAGUCUAAGGCAUUAAGUGCCGCAAGCGCAGCGAAAGCGAGUCCCAACAGGGCGUUUUAGUUAGUGGGGGCAGACGCGAAACCGUGUGAUCUAUCCUUGGGCAGGGUGAAGUUCCGAUAAUCUCGGCAUGGAGGCCCGAACUGGUUAACGUUGAAAAGUUUUCAGAUGACCUGAGGAUAGGGGUGAAAGGCCAAUCAAACUCGGAGAUAGCUCGUACUCCCCGAAAUGCAUUUAGGUGCAGCGUCGUGGAAUGAUUGCCGGAGGUAAAGCUACUGAGAAGGCUAGGGGGUGUCAAAGCCUACCAACCCUUAACAAACUCUGAAUGCCGGCAAUCAGUAGCGGCAGUGAGCCCUGGGGUGCGAAGGUCACAGGGCGAGAGGGGAACAACCCAGACCAACAGCUAAGGCCCCCAAAUCCGUGCUAAGUUGAAUCAAACGAGGUGGGAAUGCAGUGACAGCCAGGAUGUUUGCUUGGAAGCAGCAAUUCAUUUAAAGAGUGCGUAACAGCUCACUGGUCGAGCGUUCCCGCGCGGAAAAUAAACGGGCAUCAAGCACGGUGCCGAAGCUUUGGAUUGGCAGCGAUGCCACUGGUAGGGGAGCAUUCCGGUAUGCGCAGAAGCGGCGUCGCGAGGGGCCGUGGAGUUUCCGGAAAAGAAAAUGUAGGCAUGAGUAACGAUAAUGGAGCUGGAAAUGCUCCACGCCGCAAGACUAAGGGUUCCUGAUCCAUGUUCAUCAGAUCAGGGUGAGUCGGAUCCUAAGGAUAAGCCGAAGGGCGAAGCCGAUGGUGAACUGGCGAAGAUUCCAGUACUUGCGCGCACUGCGAUGUGGCGACGGAGAAGCGUAAGGGCUGCGUGCUGACGGAAUAGCACGUUGAAGCGCGUAGGUUAUGAGGGGCCAAGGCAAACCCGGGCCCCGAGCUGAAACGCGAUAGUACGCCGCGUCCUCCGGGACAAGGCGAUAACGCCCCCAAGCAUGCUUCCAGGAAAACCCACUAAGCUCCAGGUGCGCGCAACCCGUACCGUAAACCGACACAGGUAGUCGAGGAGAAUAUCCUAAGGCGCUCGAAUGAUCCGUGGCUAAGGAACUCGGCAAAAUGACCUCGUAACUUCGGGAGAAGAGGUCCCCCCAGCGAUGGGGGGCACAGUAAAAAGGCCCAGGCGACUGUUUAACACAAACACAGGACUCUGCAAACUCGCAAGAUGAAGUAUAGGGUCUGACACCUGCCCGGUGCCGGAAGGUUAAGGAAGGGGGUUAGCCGCAAGGCGAAGCUCUUGACCGAAGCCCCGGUAAACGGCGGCCGUAACUAUAACGGUCCUAAGGUAGCGAAAUUCCUUGUCGGGUAAGUUCCGACCUGCACGAAUGGUGUAACGAUCUGGGCACUGUCUCAGCCACGAGCUCGGUGAAAUUGAAGUAUCGGUGAAGAUGCCGAUUACCCGCAACGGGACGGAAAGACCCCGUGAACCUUUACUACAACUUUGCAUUGGGCUUGAACUGACGAUGUGUAGGAUAGGUGGGAGGCUAUGAAGCUGGGACGCCAGUCUCGGUGGAGCCAACGUUGAAAUACCACCCUUUGGCUGUUUGAGUCCUAAUCCCGAUGGGUCGGGAGACAUUGCAUGGUGGGUAGUUUGACUGGGGUGGUCGCCUCCCAAAGAAUAACGGAGGCUCGCAAAGGUGCCCUCAGCAUGGUCGGUAAUCAUGCGAAGAGCGUAUUAGUACAAGGGCGCUUGACUGAGAGAGCGACGGCUCGACCAGGUACGAAAGUAGGCUAAAGUGAUCCGGUGGCACCGCAUGGAAGGGCCAUCGCUCAAAGGAUAAAAGGUACUCCGGGGAUAACAGGCUGA